GAGAGACACCCUCGUUAUAGGGUCAAGCGAAUAAGUGCAUAC
rnacentral:rRNA from 1 species